rnacentral:ncRNA from 1 species
AGCCGGGUGCGCGACUCGGCGAUAGGCGCUGCCCCCGCAUAUGAGCAAGGGCGCAGCCGCUGACGUGGAACCAGCAAGGGCUUUGCCGCUUGUGCAACGAACCACCGGGGAGCGUGCCGCAAGGGGAUGGUUUCCUUUUGCGUUCCGCCGUUCGCCGGGGCAGCCCUG